rnacentral:rRNA from 1 species
UACGGAGGAUGCGAGCGUUAUCCGGAUUUAUUGGGUUUAAAGGGUGCGUAGGCGGCUUUUUAAGUCAGCGGUGAAAUUUUGCAGCUUAACUGUAACAGUUCCGUUGAUACUGGGGAGCUAGGAUUUGGUUGCUGUGGGUGGAAUGUGUGGUGUAGCGGUGAAAUGCUUAGAGAUCACACAGAAUAUCGAUUGCGAAGGCAGCUCACAAAGCCAAGAUUGACGCUGAGGCACGAAAGUGUGGGGAUCAAACAGGAUUAGA